UACAGAGGGUGCGAGCGUUAAUCGGAAUUACUGGGCGUAAAGCGCACGUAGGUGGCGACGUAAGUCGGGUGUGAAAGCCCCGGGCUCAACCUGGGAAUUGCAUUCGAGACUGCAUGGCUGGAGUACGGAAGAGGAAGGCGGAAUUCCCGGUGUAGCGGUGAAAUGCGUAGAUAUCGGGAGGAACAUCAGUGGCGAAGGCGGCCUGCUGGUCCAGUACUGACACUCAGGUGCGAAAGCGUGGGGAGCAAACAGG
rnacentral:rRNA from 1 species